UGAGACAGUUCGGUCCCUAUCUGCCGUGGACGUUUGAGAUUUGAGAGGGGCUGCUCCUAGUACGAGAGGACCGGAGUGGACGAACCUCUGGUGUUCCGGUUGUCACGCCAGUGGCAUUGCCGGGUAGCUAUGUUCGGAAAAGAUAACCGCUGAAAGCAUCUAAGCGGGAAACUUGCCUCAAGAUGAGAUCUCACUGGGAACUUGAUUCCCCUGAAGGGCCGUCGAAGACUACGACGUUGAUAGGCUGGGUGUGUAAGCGUUGUGAGGCGUUGAGCUAACCAGUACUAAUUGCCCGUGAGGCUUGACCAUAUAACACCCAAACA
rnacentral:rRNA from 1 species